GAAGCCUUCGAACCCCGAAUCAGUAUGCAGCAAGCCCGUUGAUUGAAAGAAAAAUAGCAGAAAGGGAGAAUAGAAGUUCUCUGCUUUCGAUUAUAUAUUCUGUUUAAUCCGAAGAGGUCUAUUUAUAGACUUCUUCGAGACAGACGCGACCAAAAACCGAUCCAACGGUCAAAACUGGUAAUAAAGUUUGAAAAAAUACUGGGAGUAGAGUCAGCGGAUGCGAGAUCGGUUGCGAAGAGGUGCAAGCGAGGAAGCGACGUAGCUCUUCGCGCCUUGGGUGCGAGGCACAGCCCACACACCUUUUGGCUCAUUGCACCUGUGGUCCGACCUCGGCUCCUCUGGGCUUAUCGCACCUGUGGUCCGACCUCGACCUCGGCUCCUCUUGGACGAGCACGGACGAGAUACGACCUCGGGUCGGACGAGCACAGGCACAGAGAACCGAGCAAUAUAACCAAUCUGCCUCUCCUUCACGUAAAUAAAUCCUCCAUAUGAGGAUAUAAAAAGGAGGGAAGAGAGAUUCGAACGAACAACCUCAUGCACCUCAAACCGACACACCAACCAUCCACACCAAACUCCCUUCUUAACCUAUAUACAUAAUAUAUAUGUUUUAAGUAUGAAAACUUUUAAUCAUUAUUUAAUAAAAAUCUAACAUGUAAAACCUAUGGCAUCUUUCACUAAUGGAGAAUUCCAACUGCUAUUUCU
rnacentral:lncRNA from 1 species